rnacentral:lncRNA from 1 species
UGAACUUGAGGACCAUAUAUAUACAAAUGCUAUUCUUUAUGAAGUUGAUUUAAAAGGCAUAGUAUUCCAUUUUGUUAAGGAUAAGCAAGAAAUCAUAACAUUGAUCAUAAAAUAAAGUCGGUAUACUAUAAGGUGGACCAUUGUCUACCAAUUACAGGUUUCCACAAUAAGAAAGUAUAUUCCCUUCCAUUCUCUAUGGAAUUUAAUGUAAAUCUAGCUAAAUGAUGAGCAAAAAUAUUAACAAGGUGCUUAACAAUGUGCUAAAUGCUAAUCAGCAAUCACCAAAUCAAAAUAGGAAAAGUCAUUGGAUUUUGCCUUCAUUUCUCUAACGAUGCUGAGAGUCUCAUUCAAAGAUAACAUGUUUGAAUCCAAUUUCAAAGGAAACAUGGAAAGGUAAUCUCAAACUCAUGGCUUCUGCAACAUCAGAAUCAGAUCAGGAAGAGCCUAAAAACUCCAGAUAGUAGCAUCCAUUACCAAGUCAUUUUCAUCACGAACAACAAUUCCAAUACCCCAUUUAUUGUUAGAGCUUUGCUAUAUAAAGCGACAAAAAUCAUCUCGAGGACAUUGCGAAUAGUAAAUAAACCAAUGAAAAUCAAGGGUGAGCGGAAUUCAUGGGAAGUUGGUUGACAAAAUGGUAUAUUCAAUAAAUGCUGCCUUUGAUGGAAAACAAGUCAUGAAAAUAUCGUGGAAUUCAGACCAAGAGUUUAGGAGUAACCUGUUUUUUAUUGCAGAAUGUUAGCGGUGGUUAGAAUUCUUCGAAACCCCUCUAUUUAUUUGUUGGAUUUAAAAAACAGUCAGACUAUUCAGGGAUUGGUUAAAUGGUACCCAUUUAAGUGAGGAAUUCGUGGAGUUUUAUCCCAUCUAGUUGUUGAAUUGCACCAGAUUCAAACAUGGGCUAAGGAGCUAUAUGGUUGUAGGGUCGUCAAUCCUAGAGUGGUUCCAUACGUAUUCUUAGCUUUUAGUGUGGGAUCUUACUCUCUCAGAGGUAAUUGAAGUAUAAACUUAAAUUAGAGUUCCUAAAUGUAUCAUAAGGGUUACUUCAUCUAUCUAUCAUAGAAUUACAUCAACAUAUCAUCUCUUCUUGGUAGUUCUACAUAUGGGCCGUUCACAAAAUAGUUCUAGAUUAUGUCACAAAAUAGUUGAGCUCAACUGUUAGUUACCAAAUCUCCUUUAAGAAUAAGUUUCAUAUGAGAAGCUAACUAUUGUAAGCUUUUCUUCACAAGACCUUGAUAUCGAAUACAAGCCUUAAAAUCAAAAUUUGAGCUAAAGAACAAAAGUGGCAAACAAUCAAAAUUAUGUCAUGUUGUAUUUCUUUCUCUUUGUAAUUAAGACUAUUCUCUCGUAACAACCCCCAAAUUUCUUAAGUGAGUCUCUAACUUUUGAGGGUUUCAAUGAGCAUUAAAAUCUACCCAAAAAAUGGGUAAUAGAAUGUGUCUAAAUAUUAUAUAUAAAUCAAUUAAAAUUAGGUCAAUCUUCAAAUAUAUGGUUAAUAUUCAUUGAGACCUAGAUUAGUUUUUGAACAUCCGUAAAUGCAUAACAAAACAUUAAGAAUAUAUUAUAAAUCGAAUAAAACUAAGCAUUGCAAUUGAAUUGAAAGGAAAAAAAUCAACAUCUUACAUGGUUUAAGUAGUUACAGAGAUGGUUUAUCUACAUGAUGUAACCUAGAAAAUUAGCUACUCAAGUUAUCUACACAUAAACAAAUGAAUAUGUAAAAGAAUACAUGAACUAUGAUCAUCGUAUGCUGAUUCCCUGUCUCUGUGAUGAUUAUGAUUGCUAGUAAUAUUUCUAAUCACGAUUUUGCUUGUUUCUAAUCAUCAUAGCGAUUCUUUCUAAUGAGUCAGGGCAUACCUAUAUAUAGGGAAGCGUUUCCAGUAUUCCUGAAAAGUUUGUGCCGAACACACAUAGUUUGUGCCCAUCACACAUGAGGUAGUAGUUUUGCCUUUGAACUUCCUUCUUGGUUGUGCGACAUGCAACUCAUAGCAUGCUUUGCGCAUGAGGCGGCAGCUUUUUCAUUUCUCCUCAUCAAAAACAUUUGUGGUGACUACACCCCAAGAAAUCACUUGAUAAUCUUUUGAAAAGCCUGGCACAACCACACCGCUGUCUAGUUUGGGUGAUUUGACAUAGUUUAUGGCCUUUUGUUCAUAUAUUAUCUUCCAUGCCGAUUCAUCAAUUUAUUUACAAAAUCUCAACUAAAACUAAUGAAAACUUUCUAGAAUGAAUCUAAAUUGACUCCUAAACAAUGCAAAAAUACUAUAUGAAUUACUUUCAUCAAAGCUCCAAGAACCCUUCAACAAGGAAAUUUACCACCAGCAAAAUUAGCAUGGCAGAUGCUUAACACUUCAGGCCACAUCAUUGGCUGAUAUGAUUAGUUUUUUUUCUUCUAUAAACCAGUUUGUACAUUGUAAUUAGACACAUUCAAUCAAUCAAACAAAUAUUUUGCAUUUUAUCUCUUUUAUCAGUCAGUCUUCCUAUAUUUUUUAGUGUAGCUCAAAAAACCUAAAAAUAACCUUACGGAACACUCCUAGAGAAGUUAGGAAACCUACAACGGAGUGAUAGAAUUUCUCCCUCAACGUCAAUCACUUGAAGAAAAGGGAAUAUACAAUUGAAUAAAGGAUACAUUAUUUAUGAAAGUAGUGAAAAUCAUACUAACAUUACAACACUAACCACAUUUGAUUAGUUUAUAUUAUGCAUUGGAGAUAGGGAAAUGAUAAUCUGCAUUCCAAGGACUAGAGAUCACUAAAAUAUUACACUAAACCUCAGAAUGCAGGUUAUCUAAUCCUUACCCAAUAUUUAUUCUAACUCCAUCAUAUGAGGACAUAUAGAAAAUAGAAGCCAUCAAUUUGAUUUCAUUAUUCUGCAUUGGUGAUAGGAAAAGAUAAUCCGCACUCCGAGGCUUAGAAACGAUUACGCAAUUUAUUUAUUUUUUGGAAAUUACGCAAAUAUUGUCUUAAACCUCAGGAUGCAGAUUAUCCCAUCCUCACCCAAUAUAUUCUCACUGAAGAAGUCCGUAUUUCACACUGGUAUUUAGAAAAAGGUAAUCUCUAUCCCAUCCUCACCCGAUUCUCAACCAAUCAACACCUACUCCAAUUACAAGUAUAGUACUAAGAAAAUGAGAGUGGAAGAAAUUGCAUAAGCAAAUAAUCCAAGGGAAAAGAAUGCUU